GCUAACUCCGUGCCAGCAGCCGCGGUAAUACGGAGGGUGCAAGCGUUAAUCGGAAUUACUGGGCGUAAAGCGCACGCAGGCGGUUGGAUAAGUUAGAUGUGAAAGCCCCGGGCUCAACCUGGGAAUUGCAUUUAAAACUGUCCAGCUAGAGUCUUGUAGAGGGGGGUAGAAUUCCAGGUGUAGCGGUGAAAUGCGUAGAGAUCUGGAGGAAUACCGGUGGCGAAGGCGGCCCCCUGGACAAAGACUGACGCUCAGGUGCGAAAGCGUGGGGAGCAAACAGGAUUAGAUACCCCUGUAGUC
rnacentral:rRNA from 1 species